CACACAUGGUGGAAGUGGGAGCCAGGGAUUAAAGCGGACAGGAUGCUAUUUUCAUGCUGCUUCUGAAAGGAAUGGCUUCUCUUCCAGCAGAGGAAGGAGCUGCGGCUGCACGGUGCCAUGCAACAGUAGUGUCAGAAAUAUCACAGCUGGAACCAAUGCUGUCUAGAAGCUCUGAUACAGGCCCAGCUGCUUGUGAUUCUACAGCACGCCCACAGGAAUUCAAACAACAGCAAACUUUCAUCCACAAAGAAAGGAAACACACUUACCCGAUCAGCACUGUUUGCAAAGGAAAUGACAAAUGCAUCAUGCCUAACAUUGUCACAAUUGGAUGCCAGAGUCCCUGCUUUGGAGCACCGCCUGUCAGAACUGAGAUGGCCAUGGAGGGAGCUCUGAGCCACUCUGCCAUUCGAAACAAUGGGAUCUAUUAAAAAGGAAAAACAAAAAUCAAGCCAGAAAUGGCUGACACGUGCUGAAGGGAGAGGGCAAAGCUGCAUGGACACUCAGUAAGAGUUGAAAUUGAGGCAGAAGAACAGAACCAAAAAUAGUUUGUUAGUGAAUCAGAAGCAUGGAAGGAGACAGUGAGCAAUGGAACAGCACAUGGAGAGGAUCUGUUGGAAAGUGAAUGCACACAUUAUCAUGUACAGAGAUCAGAAGUGAGACUGAAACAGAGCUAUUCCAGAACAAAUACUACUUUGAAAAUCAAACAUUUUAAAGUUAUUUUCUUCGUACUGAAUCUACAUAACUGUUUUGUUGUUGCUGUUUUGUUUGCAUUUGUUCGAUGCGACUCUUACAUCAAAUAGGUUGUGAAUAGGAAUGUUGCAAACAAGAA
rnacentral:lncRNA from 1 species